UCCGACUUGACGUCGGCAGUCUCACUAGAGUGCCCAACUUAAUGCUGGCAACUAGUGAUAGAGGUUGCGCUCGUUGCGGGACUUAACCCAACACCUCACGGCACGAGCUGACGACAACCAUGCAGCACCUUGUAAGUUGUCUUGCGAAAGAUCUGUUUCCAAACCGGUCAACCUACAUUUAAGCCUUGGUAAGGUUCCUCGCGUAUCAUCGAAUUAAACCACAUGCUCCACCGCUUGUGCGGGCCCCCGUCAAUUCCUUUGAGUUUCAAACUUGCGUUCGUACUCCCCAGGUGGGAUACUUAUCACUUUCGCUUAGCCACCCAGUCUUGCAACCGGACAGCUAGUAUCCAUCGUUUACGGCGUGGACUAC
rnacentral:misc_RNA from 1 species